rnacentral:sRNA from 1 species
ACUUGAGCUAAAUUCAACUCAUCGUGUCUCCAGCGACUGACCACGGAUGUACUGGCAGUUGUUGUUGAGGCGGAUUGAGAAAGGUCGGCACGGAGGGAGGUGCCGACCUUUUUCUUU